UUAAUCAGUAGAGGUGCGCUGCCUAUAAGUAACCGUGCGGAGGAUGAUACCGACGAUGCCGGAGAAAGGAGUCAGUGCCGAAGUAACUGUUGUUAUCACACUCAGUUGCUGGGUCUGCGUCGAAUAGGCGCAGGACUGCCAUAGUUUUUUUCCUAUGGAGCGCUACCUGAAGG
rnacentral:ncRNA from 2 species